AUGGCAGCAUCGCAGGGUUCAAUAUCGAGGAUGCCGUCGAGGUGCACAGCAGAGACGGCUCGGGCCACGGUCGCGUUCGAGAUCGCCGGCUACAGGCUGCUCAAGGGCCACGGUAGAGGCAAAUGCCUCCGUUCUCCAGCAUUCUCCAUCGGCGGCUACGAAUGGCGCAUUCGCUACUACCCCGACGGUAACCAAAGCGAGGCAGCCGAAGGUUACGUCUCCCUCUUCCUCGAGCUCCUUACCGAAAAGGCCGAGGUGAGGGCCACUUUCAACUUCAUGAUUGUGGAGCCGGUUGAGCGGAAGUCGAUUUUGGUGUGCUCCUUCAAAGAGCCACUAGUGUUCGACCCUGAAAGGUCAUCUUGGGGCGUAACAAACUUCAUGAAGACCACCACUGAAGUAGAGUCGGUGUACCUGCGAAACGAUUGUCUCGUGAUCGAGUGCGAAGUCAGUGUUAUCAAGGAAACACUCGAGGUCCACGUUCCACCGUCCCGCCUUGUGGAUAAUCUUGCAAAAUUACUAGAGGGGAAGAAAGGAGCGGACGUGACUUUCAAGGUCCAAGGGGAGGUUUUUUCUGCUCAUAAGGUUUUGCUUGCGACGCAAUCAGCGGUCUUCGACGCGGAGUUCUACGGGCCGAUGGGGGGCAAAGGGGCGCAGGACAUAACUAUAGAUGGCAUGCAGCCUGCUGUUUUCAAGUCAUUUCUUCACUUCAUCUACACGGAUUCAAUGCCUUCCAUGGACGAUCUCGAGGAUGAUGACAAAAGAGAAAUGGUUAAGCACUUACUUGUGGCUGCAGAUAAGUAUGCCAUGGAAAGGAUGAAGCUGAUAUGUGAAGGCAUGCUAUGCAAGAGUCUUGAUGUUGAGAAUGUGGCGACCAUAUUAGCUCUAGCUGACCAGCACAAUUGCAGCAAUCUCAAAGAUGCUUGCAUGGAAUUUAUGCUCUCUUCGAAUAGAAUGAAUGAUGUGAUCGCAAGCCAAGGCUAUGUACAACUCAAGAGAUCUUCGCCUGAUAUCAUUGUGGAUGUAUUGGAGAGAGCAGCUAAGUCCCGCAAAAUUUAG
rnacentral:rRNA from 1 species